GAAAUGGUCAUUUUAUCUUUGCACGAUCUGUAACUCAGAUCUACUCUGCAAAGUUUAAACUAGGUAUGUUUCAGAGAUUUUUUAAGGUUUUGUGAUGGUUAACCUCUCCCACUUCAAAAUUAGUUUUAAGAACGAGACCUGACUUUGCAGUUCCAAUAGAUGCAGGAGAGAAAAACACUGUGGGUGGGUUCUUUCCAGCUGGCAUCAUUGUCUCCAUGGUCUCUUGAGGGUGAGUACAGUAAUUUGUGAGGCUUGUUGCUUUUGUUAAGGUUUUCUGAGACUGGAGAAGAGAUGAUGUUUUGUGGGUACAAACGAUAUGCCAGGUGGAGGAAUAAUUCUGAUUAUGCUGUUACUGGGUGGGGAGGUGGGAAGUCUUCAGAAAGGCUAUUUCCAGGGAGCCAAGAACUACAAACUGCCUGCUGAGGAGCCACUAUCCUCACUGCCUCCACAAGCAAUCGAAUUCACCUACAUCUAAAAUCAAUAACUUUUAACAUCUCCCUCAAUCACACCAGUAGAUUUUAUUAUAAGCUGCAAAAGUAAUAUUCAGAGGACUUCAAAACAUCUUUGUUUUAUUUUAUUUUAGUAGAAAAUUUUAUUUUAUUUUAUUUUAUUGUAUUAGACAACAUUUUUACAACUAAUACCAGGGAUAAAUCUUACUAUGGACCAGCCUGCCAGUCUUUGAAAGUGCAGAGUUAAUUUCUCUUCUAUAUUAGUACAAUACAUUUUCUGUGACUAAAGUGUGUAAAAGUGUAAGAUUAUACUUGGAAUCUAGGUGUAACUAUUUGCACUUCAGGAGCUAAAUUUCCCUAAGGUGCAGGCUGUUACAACUUCACAAGUGACUAACUGCAGAAAGUAGCAUGCAAUUGUACGUGUGGAGUGAUUCUAUAAUUAGUGGUCCAUAAAAGCAAUCACUGAGCUAGCUCUCCAAAUUGUGCUUUACCAUGCUGGCAAGUCAAAGUUUUCUCGCUGAAAGGAUAAGGGAAAAGCUGGGAGAGUACAAGGCAUGCAUAUUGUAAAAUUAGACACGUUUGUAAAUAUUCCAAGGAUUCUGGAAUUCUUCUGGCAUAAAGGAGCCCUGCUGUCGUAGUUUUUUCUCCCAAACCAGAACUUUUCCAGUUAAGUCUUCAGCAAGUUCAACAAAGCUCAGCAGGAACCUUAGACUUUCUGGAUAAACUCUGUCCUGGUGUCUCCAAGAUUUUUAAUAGAUUGCAAAACUCUUCUCCUAAAUAAUCUAUCUUUUGUUAAUGUCUGGGUUUUUUGUAGGAAUUGUUUGAAUCCUUCAGCAGUUCUUCCACUAACAUAGAUAAAUACCCAUGAUUCUGGUUAUGAGCAGAUUAAAUAAAAUUGGAUUUAAAAUCAAUUCAGAACCUGAAAAUCAUAGAAAAAAAAUGAAAUAAAUUUGUGAAGUACAUGGUGAUAACUCAAUAUGAACCAGCUUUUCUUUAAAUAUAUUUUCAUGUAAGUAGCUCUUGAUCUAAAGAAGUAUUUUCCAUGAAAGUUUUUUCUUUAGUUUACAACUUAGACCUUGAGGAGUGAUGUUAACUUAAAAAGCAAUGUAGUAAGAUAUUUGUGUUUUUCAUUGCAGUAUUCCAGCAUGAGGGUGUAUUUUGUUUUUUGUUUUAGAAGCAAAAAAGAUUUUCCUGAUGUGGGCUUUUAAUAGAGAAACUAUUUCUGAAAGUGUCACUUCAUGUUUUUCACUGACAUUGCAAAAAAAAAAAAAAAGUCUUAUAAAACCCCAUGUCAGAAAGAAUCAUUGUCAGUUUAUGCUAUGUAACUUCCCUUUGAUUCCAUGUUAGAAUCAGAAAGUACUUUAUAACGUUCAGCAUGUUAACACUUCUUUCCUCUAAGUGCCAUCAAACAUUAAUCACGUUGUGGUAAGCUGCAUAUGUAAUUAAAUUACAUUAUCUUGGAAUAGGAAAUUUUUUUUCAAGUAUCAAAACGCUAACUUUAGAGAUACCAAGGCAUUGUUUCAAUACUGUUCUGAUGCCUGACUGAAUGCCUGCUGUGUUGAAUUUGGGCAGGUUUUGGAGGCAGGGGGGGCCUACAGGUGUGGCUGCUGUGAGAAGGUGCUACAAGCUUCCUCCACAUCCAGCAGAGCCAAAGCCAGCCAGCUCCAAGACAGACCUGCUGCUGGCCAAGGCUGGGACAAUUAGAAAUGGUAGUAAGGCCUCUGUAAUAACAUAUUCAAGAAGGAAAAAAAAGUUACUGUGCAGACGUAACUGCGGCCAGAGAAGAGUGGAGUGAGAACAUGUGAGAGGAACACAGCUACAGAGACCAAGGUCAGUGGAGGAGGAGGGGCAGGAGGUGCUCCAGGUGCCUGAGCACAGAUUCCCCUGCAGCCUGUAGUGCAGACCAUGGUGGAGCAGCCUGUACCCCUGCAGCCCAUUAUGGUCCACAGGGAUGUAGAGAACAACCUGCAGCCCAUGGAGGUGACCCAGGCUGGAGCAGGUGGAUGCCCAAAGGAGGCUGGGAAACCAUGGGAAACCUGCUCUGGAAAAGGGUCUGGCAGGGACCUGCUGACCUGCAGAGAGAGGAGCCCAUGCUGGAGCAGGUUUCCUGGUAGGACUUGUGACCCUGUGGGGGACCCACGUUGGACCAGGCUCUGCCUGGAGGACUGCAAGCCAUGGUAGAGUGACCCCUGUCGUGUCAGCUCAGGGAGAACCGUUGCCCAUGAGAUACACUCAUGCUGGGAAAGUUCAUGGGGGACUGUCUCCAGAGGGACCCCAUGAUGGAGCCGGGGAAGGACUCCUUUCCCUGAGCAGUGGCAGAAAUAACCUGUGAUGAACAAACCACAACCAACUGUGUAAACACCCAACCAACUGUGCCACUGGGGGAGGAGGUAGAGCUGCGAAGGAGGGAGGGGUGGGAGGAAGGUGGGUUUAAGAUUUAUUUUACUUCUUAUCUUGCUCUGAUUCUGUUAACAAUAAGUUCAGUUAAUAUCCCCAAGUCGAGUCAGUUUUGCCUGUGAUGACAUUUGGUGAGGGACCUCUCUCUGUCCCUGUCUCAACUCAUGAAUCUCUGUUAUAUUUUCUCUCUCCUGUCCAGUUGUGGAAGGGGGGGAUAGAGCAGCUUUGGUGAGCACCUCACAUACAGCCAGGGUCAACCCACCACACCUGUGUUGAAAGAAGCUAUCACAAAAGGGAAGAUUUGUGCCAUGUACAGGCACUGGCUUUUUAAAGCUGCCGAGGGAAGGCAUUUUAUAAUAAGAUUCUCUGCUCUCCUGGUGAACAUACUGAAACUUGUGAGUAAACAACACAAACAGACAGCAACUCUUGCAGGUAUAAUAGAGGCCAAACCGAAAGGAGCCCUUUGAGACCCGUGAAGCAUUUUUGGGCAGCGUAACUCACCUCCGACAAAGCGGAUUCCCAGGUUUAGCUUUGCCUUGUUUUUCCGUUGUGUUGCUGGCUAGGGGGAGGGCAUAGGAUGUGGAAACUCAUUUGCCAUGUUGUUUUCUUUGCUCUCCCAAGCUGCAUGCUCCAGCACAGGAGCCCCCACUAUUUUGUCUUUUGGUUUUCGCUCUGGGGGUUGGGGGGCAGAGCUAGAAAAUAAUUCCUGCCUUGUUGAUUUAAGCUGUUUCCUUUGUAUUUUUGUGGUUGAUGAUAUUUUUCCUCAUUAGUAAACGGUUGGUUUUUUCACUUA